CGGACGGGUGAGUAACGCGUGAGAAUCCUGCCUUCAGGUUGGGGACAACAGUUGGAAACGACUGCUAAUACCGAAUAUGCCGCGAGGUGAAAGCUUUAGUGCCUGAAGAGGAGCUCGCGUCCGAUUAGCUAGUUGGAGUGGUAACGGCACCCCAAGGCGACGAUCGGUAGCUGGUCUGAGAGGAUGAUCAGCCACACUGGGACUGGGACACGGCCCAGACUCCUACGGGAGGCAGCAGUGGGGAAUUUUCCGCAAUGGGCGCAAGCCUGACGGAGCAAGACCGCGUGCGGGAGGAAGGCCUUUGGGUUGUAAACCGCUUUUCUCAGGGAAGAAGCUCUGACGGUACCUGAGGAAUCAGCAUCGGCUAACUCCGUGCCAGCAGCCGCGGUAAUACGGAGGAUGCAAGCGUUAUCCGGAAUUAUUGGGCGUAAAGCGUCCGCAGGUGGUUGAGCAAGUCUGCUGUUAAAUUGUGGAGCUUAACUCCAUCACGGCGGUGGAAACUGCUCGACUGGAGGAUGGUAGGGGUUGCGGGAAUUCCCAGUGUAGCGGCGAAAUGCGUAGAUAUUGGGAAGAACACCAGCGGCGAAGGCGCGCAACUGGACCAUUACUGACACUCAUGGACGAAAGGNAGGGGAGCGAAAGGGAUUAGAUACCCC
rnacentral:rRNA from 1 species